CAGCUGAACCUGCUGGUGAAGGUGGUGCAGCUUCCCAAGCCACGUCCAGGACUGAGGCACUGGGAGAUGCCGAGGGUGUGUCUGCAGGGAGGACUUGUCCAGCUCCUUUGCUGAUUCCUACACAGAAGCCUGGCAACCAUCGAAGGGGUCCUCUGAGGGGGAAGGACCAAGCUACAGGACACCAGAAACUCCAUGAUCCAUGUGAAAACAUGAGGCAAAUGCUGAAGGAAAUGCAGCAGGCAGGAGAAGAAGUGGAUGCAGAGGCUGGGCAUGAGGCGGCAUUUCCCAGAGGAAGCAGUGGUUCCGUGCCAGCCUCUGCUGCAGGAAGAGAGGCGAUGCCAGGCACAGGCC